rnacentral:tRNA from 1 species
AGCCUCGUAGCUCAGUUGGUAAAGCGUGGGCGGCGUCCAUGCUUGGGUUCGAAUCCCACCGAGGCAA